rnacentral:lncRNA from 1 species
AGCACGUUCAUAACUGCCAUCCAUCAUUGUCGAGAGCUGCUGCCGCUGCGAACUCAGGCCCACAGCAAGGCCUAGAUGCAUGUGUCGCAUCAUGGCUGACACCACACUAAGCCCACCAUGUCGCCAGACUGUCACAGCCGGAUAAGGGCGCCGGUCGUCAGAUCCGAUCCGACCCUCAGCGCAUGGAAUCCACCACCUAGAGGCUACUUGUACAUUCUCAACUCUACUUGUAAAUUCUCAAUGUGCUUUAUCUUGCUCCAAUCAUCUCCUGACUCGCUGCAUCUUUGCUUAAACCUCUUUGUGCAUUGUGAUAGUGUCAAGGUAUGCAAAGAGGUCAGUCUCUCAAUGCACGGAGGCAAAGUUUUCAUCCAGUAGGUCUCUACUUUGAGCUCACGGAGAGAUGCCAUAUCUCCCAACCAUUCUGGCAAGGUUUCCAUGUCCUCACAGUUCAGUAUCUCUAGCUUCCUGAGGGAUUUCCAGCCUAGAAUGCACUUUGGCAAAGGUACAGGAUCGAUGCAACUGUCAACAGUUAAUUCUUCAAUGUCAAGCAGUUGAAGAGAAUCGGAGUCAGAAGAUAUAUCUUUGAUGUACUUGAUUUCCAUUUUGGAUGAUAAAGCAGAUGUUGCUAGCCCCAUGACUUGGUAGAAUGAUGGCCAAUUGAAUAAAAAUGGAUAUUGUUUAAUUCCAGAUAUGAUAUACCUGGC